rnacentral:rRNA from 1 species
UACGGGGGGAGCAAGCGUUGUUCGGAUUUACUGGGCGUAAAGGGCGCGUAGGCGGUCAGCACAAGUCAGUUGUGAAAUCUCCGGGCUUAACUCGGAAAGGUCAACUGAUACUGUGCGACUAGAGUGCAGAAGGGGCAACUGGAAUUCUCGGUGUAGCGGUGAAAUGCGUAGAGAUCCGGAAGAACACCGGUGGCGAAGGCGGCCUGCUGGGCAGUUUAGCUGACACUGAGGCGCGACAGCGUGGGGAGCAAACAGG